GAUGAACGCUGGCGGCGUGCCUCAAACAUGCAAGUCGAGCGAGGCUAUGAAUUACCGCAAGGUAAGGCAUAGCCUAGCGGCGAACGGGUGAGUAACACGUGGGUAACCUACCUGGAAGACAGGGAUAACGAUUCGAAAGGGUCGCUAAUACCUGAUAAUAUCCAUCUGCCGGAUGGCGGAGGGAAGAAAGGGGGAACCCGCUUUCAGGAUGGGGCCCGCGUCCCAUCAGCUAGUUGGUAAGGUAAAGGCUUACCAAGGCGACGACGGGUAGCCGGGUCUGAGAGGAUGUACGGCCACACUGGGACUGAGAUACGGCCCAGACUCCUACGGGAGGCAGCAGUUGGGAAUCUUAGGCAAUGGACGAAAGUCUGACCUAGCGACGCCGCGUGAGGGAAAAGGCCUUCGGGUUGUAAACCUCUGUCAUGGGGGAAGAAGGAAGUGACGGUACCCCAAGAGGAAGCCCCUGCUAACUACGUGCCAGCCAGCCGCGGUAAAAGUGUGUGUA
rnacentral:rRNA from 1 species